rnacentral:rRNA from 1 species
ACAGCAGCCGCCGCGGGAAUACGUAGGGGGCGAGCGUUGUCCGAAGUUACUGGGCGUAAAGCGCGCGUAGGCGGCUUCUUAAGUCUGAGGUGAAAGGUUCAACGCUUAACGUGAACAGUGCCUUGGAUACUGGGGAGCUUGAGUAUGGGAGAGGGCAGUGGAAUGGCUGGUGUAGCGGUGAAAUGCGUAGAUAUCAGUCGGAACACCCAUGGCGAAGGCAGCUGCCUGGCCUAAUACUGACGCUGAGGUGCGAAAGCGUGGGGAGCGAACGGGAUUAGAGACCCCAGUAGUCCCUGUCUCUUAUU